rnacentral:rRNA from 1 species
CCGUGAAGGGUUGGGUUAAGUCCCGCAACGAGCGCAACCCCUAUUGCUAGUUGCCAUCACAUAAUGGUGGGCACUCUAGUGAGACUGCCCGGGUCAACCGGGAGGAAGGUGGGGACGACGUCAAGUCAUCAUGGCCCUUACGUCCAGGGCUACACACGUACUACAAUGGUGGAUACAGAGGGUCGCGAAGCCGCGAGGUCGAGCCAAUCCCAGAAAAUCCAUCCCAGUCCGGAUCGCAGUCUGCAACUCGACUGUGUGAAGUUGGAAUCGCUAGUAAUCCCAGAUCAGCAUGCUGGGGUGAAUACGUUCCCGGGCCUUGUACACACCGCCCGUCACACCACGAAAGCUGGUUCUACCCAAAAUCGACGGACUAACCUUCGGGAGGUAGUCGCCUACGGUAGGGCUGGUAAUUGGGGUGAAGUCGUAACAAGGUAAC